rnacentral:rRNA from 1 species
ACCAUUCUUGAGCUCGAUAAUCCAUAUAGUAAGUGAGUGUACUAUUCUACAGGAACUUGACAGGCUA